rnacentral:lncRNA from 1 species
CCUGGCGUAUACUGUUUGGAAUCUCGCUCCAAGAGUGAUAAGCUUAUGUAUAGAGUCUUCUAACACACUCUUUUAAAGCCCGGGCAGCAUCCUUUGCAGGAUGCCACCUGCAAAACACAUAAUAAAUAUAUUAGUUCAUGAAUAAUAUAUUAAAGUAUAAGAAAUAAAUAAAAUAAACUAACAAAUAGAUAACAAAACAAACUUACGGUGAUCCAUCCGGCUCAAUCAU